rnacentral:rRNA from 1 species
GAUGAACGCUGGCGGCGUGCCUAAUACAUGCAAGUCGAGCGAACAGACGAGGAGCUUGCUCCUCUGACGUUAGCGGCGGACGGGUGAGUAACACGUGGAUAACCUACCUAUAAGACUGAGAUAACUUCGGGAAACCGGAGCCAACACCGGAUAAUAUAUUGAACCGCAUGGUUCAAUAGUGAAAGACGGUUUUGCUGUCACUUAUAGAUGGAUCCGCGCCGCAUUAGCUAGUUGGUAAGGUAACGGCUUACCAAGGCAACGAUGCGUAGCCGACCUGAGAGGGUGAUCGGCCACACUGGACCUGAGACACGGUCCGGACUCCUACGGGAGGCAGCAGUAGGGAAUCUUCCGCAAUGGGCGAAAGCUUGACGGAGCAACGCCGCGUGAGUGAUGAAGGUCUUCGGAUCGUAAAACUCUGUUAUUAGGGAAGAACAAAUGUGUAAGUAACUAUGCACGUCUGGACGGUACCUAAGAAGAAAGCCACGGCGAACUACGU